AUGGUGGUUCCCGACAAUGAUCACGGCGGCGCCACCGUGAAACAUGCCAGAUUCGGAAUAAAAUUUAACCACCUUGCUCGGUUUUCUUUCCUUGUUUCAAAUCCGGAGUUAGUUUUUUUUAAUACAUUACAGAUCUACAACAACAAAUCAAUAAAACAACUCAAAAAAGGAUGGAUUCGGUUUCAGGUGAAAAUAAGCAACCUUUUGGAGGAGAGAAAAUGGAGAACGACAACGACAAAGGGCGGUUUCCGGUGA